UUUUCUUCCCUACAUCUCUUACAUUUUCUUCAUUCUUCAAUUGGAUAGUAUGAUACAAAUUUUAAGCAUUUCUUGUUAAACAAACAUUUAAUGGUAACCCCAUGGUAAUUAAAUAUCAGUGACUGAUAACAGGCGUUUGCAGCAAACGGUAUGUACGAACAUACAAACAUACGUACAUAUGUGCAUAUGGAAGCAACGAUGCAAAAUUUGUUUUGUUUUGCCAAUUUGAUUCGUUUGUAAUUCAUUCACAAUGAAUGACUAGACGCAAAUACGUACAUAUGUAUGUAGGAAGUAUGUAUGUAUAUGAGUUUACAUAUGUACA